GGGCCAUUAGCUCAGUCGGCAGAGCACUUGACUUUUAAUCAAGGUGUCCGGAGUUCGAAUCUCCGAUGGCUCACCA
rnacentral:tRNA from 3 species